rnacentral:siRNA from 1 species
UUGAUUCGUAAUGCCUGUUA